rnacentral:rRNA from 1 species
UUCCGGUUGAUCCUGCCGGACCUGACUGCUAUCGGAUUGAUACUAAGCCAUGCGAGUCUUUGUAGCAAUACAAGGCAGACGGCUCAGUAACACGUAGUCAAUCUACCCUAUGGACGGGGAUAACCUCGGGAGACUGAGAAUAAUACCCGAUAGAUCAUUAUGCCUGGAAUGGUUUAUGGUUCAAAUGAUUUUUCGCCAUAGGAUGGGACUGCGGUCUAUCAGCUUGUUGGUGAAGUAAUGGCCCACCAAGGCUAUAACAGAUACGGGCUCUGAGAGGAGAAGCCCGGAGAUGGGUACUGAGACACGGACCCAGGUCCUAUGGGGCGCAGCAGGCGAGAAAACUCUGCAAUGUGCGAAAGCACGACAAGGCUAACCCGAGUGUUUUCUGNUNAAGAAAUCUUUUGUCAGUCCUAAAAACACUGGACGAAUAAGGGGUGGGCAAGUUCUGGUGUCA